CGGUGCUGACCUACCUGGACCGGGGCAGUGGGCCUGUGGUGCUCCUGGUGCACGGCGUGUGCAUGACGAGCGCGUUCUUCGCGCGCAACAUCGAC
rnacentral:tRNA from 1 species